rnacentral:other from 1 species
CCUUCUCUGGGGUGUGCGCCAGUUCGUCAGAUCCCCUGAGCCGAUGUUUUAUCCUUCGGGAUGCGUUCGUCUUGCGCGGUGUGCAUGUCCGCCUGUCGGAAAGCCUUAAGUGCGAGCGCCGCAUCCCCCUUGAACCUACUGGGUUCAAGGGUUACGACGGACAGCGGCACUCUCGGAGAAACC